UGGGGAAUAUUGCACAAUGGGCGCAAGCCUGAUGCAGCAACGCCGCGUGCGGGAUGAAGGCCUUCGGGUUGUAAACCGCUUUCAGCAGGGACGAGGCCUUAUGGUGACGGUACCUGCAGAAGAAGCUCCGGCUAAAUACGUGCCAGCAGCCGCGGUAAUACGUAUGGAGCAAGCGUUAUCCGGAUUCAUUGGGCGUAAAGCGCUCGUAGGCGGUCUGUUAGGUCGGCAAGUUAAAUCCGGGGGCUCAACCCCCGUCCGCUUCCGAUACCGGCAGACUUGAGUUUGGUAGGGGAAGGUGGAAUUCCUAGUGUAGCGGUGGAAUGCGCAGAUAUUAGGAAGAACACCGGUGGCGAAGGCGGCCUUCUGGGCCAUAACUGACGCUGAGGAGCGAAAGCUAGGGGAGCGAACAGG
rnacentral:rRNA from 1 species